CAAAUUAGAUCUUAGAGGUAAUUUUUGUUUACAACAUUAAUAAGGUUGUGCAAUUCAACUUAAUUUGA
rnacentral:tRNA from 1 species